CCUACGUGAGGCAGCAGUGAGGAAUAUUGGUCAAUGGGCGGAAGCCUGAACCAGCCAAGUAGCGUGCAGGAUGACGGCCCUACGGGUUGUAAACUGCUUUUAUACGGGAAUAACGCGCCUUACGUGUAGGGCUUUGCAUGUACCGUAUGAAUAAGGACCGGCUAAUUCCGUGCCAGCAGCCGCGGUAAUCCGGAAGGUCCGGGCGUUAUCCGGAUUUAUUGGGUUUAAAGGGAGCGUAGGCCGCAUGUCAAGCGUGCUGUGAAAUGUCCGGGCUCAACCCGGGCCUUGCAGCGCGAACUGGCGUGCUGGAGUGAGCGGAAGGCAGGCGGAAUUCGUGGUGUAGCGGUGAAAUGCUUAGAUAUGACGAAGAACCCCGAUUGCGAAGGCAGCAUGCUGCAGCGGAACUGACGUUGAGGCUCGAAAGCGUGGGGAGCGAACAGGAUUAGAUACCCCAGUAGUC
rnacentral:rRNA from 1 species